GACAGAGGGUGCAAACGUUGUUCGGAAUUACUGGGCGUAAAGCGAGUGUAGGCGGUUUGGUAAGUCGGAUGUGAAAGCCCCGGGCUCAACCCGGGAAGUGCACUCGAUACUGCCAGGCUAGAGUAUCGGAGAGGUUGGUGGAAUUCUCGGUGUAGAGGUGAAAUUCGUAGAUAUCGAGAGGGACACCGGUGGCGAAGGCGGCCAACUGGACGAAUACUGACGCUGAGACUCGAAAGCGUGGGGAGCAAACAGGG
rnacentral:rRNA from 1 species